CUUCCUCCUAUUGGACUAAUCCUGGUGAUGGAACUUAUGUCAAUGUGGGUCCAUGCUGGGAAAUUCCCAUAAUGCAAUGCUGGGCUCUUGCUGAACAUUGGGUUUAAUAUCAUGAAGGCAGGGAAGGGGUUAAAGAAAGCUUGCAUGGUGCAGGAACCCAAGAGGUUAAGUUUGAUUAAAAUGGUCCUUAGCAAAGUCCAAAGCUUGUAAGAGGGUUAAAUAAACAAUCGUGGGGUUCUGGGAGAGAAAGAUUUAAUAGUGCUUAGAUGGGGUGUCUUGGAGGUUAAUGAGGGGCUUCCGGCACAGUGGUGGGGUAUCUGUAAGAAAUUAGGGGUUACCUGAAGAUGGGGUCUGGUAUUUGGUAAGGAUAUGGUUAGUUGUACUAGGAGGGGUAUCUGGCAAUGGUGGAGUUAAGUAUGCUAAGAAGGGUAUUUGGCAGGGAGGGGGUUAAUUGAACUAGGAGAGGUAUUUGGCAGGGAGGUGGUUAAUUAUACUAGAAGGGGUAUUUGGCAAUGGUGGAGUUAAAUAUGCUAAGAAGGGUAUUUGGCAGGGAGGGGGUUAAUUGAACUAGGAGAGGUAUUUGGCAGGGAGGGGGUUAAUUGUACUAGUUGGGGUAUUUGGCAGGGAUGGAGUUAAUUAUACUAGGA